rnacentral:lncRNA from 1 species
CACAUUUAGUCAAGCAAUGGACAGACACGAUAGGCCAGCUUCAGGCAUGUCUGCUGGAGAAGGAGAAAGAACUGCUGACCCUCAACAAUCUGCUGUUUAGCCAUGAGGAUACAAUCCAUACUCUUGAGAAUGAACUGGCCAAUGAGAAGAUCAAAUAUGACUCAAAGACCAAGGAGCUCCAGGAUGCUUUGGAACAGUCCAAUGAGGAGAUGGCAGAGAAAGACUUCCUCCUAACAGAGAAGGAGAUUAAUCUGAAGGAGCUGGAAGCUGCCGUAAAGACAUUCAACUGCACACUGCAGGAAAAAGAUCAAUUGCUACAGGAGGGCCAUGUGUGCACAUGCCCUGACAUGACCACUGGUCACCAUCAGGAAUCAGUGUUACAGCAGCAG